AAUGUAUGUAUGCAAGGUUUUAAAGGACUCUUGUAUCUUGCCUCUUUCCAUUUUUAAAUAGGCGGCAAGCUGUCAGUUAUUGCAACUGACUCUGAGGGGUACUCAGCAAGGCUACUAAAAUUGGCGUCCAACAAUGGCAAAAAUGUCAUUUUUGUUGUCCCACUACAAGAGCAGCUGUCGAAGGAACCACUACCCUAUGAUGCACCAGAGUUCGCAAAGAUGCCACAGGCAACGUGCAUUUCAUGUGAAAAGCAAAUGCCUUUGCAGAUGUUGCCUUUGCACGUUGAGGGAUGUAAUGGCACAUUGAAUGAGAGUGAAUCAGAGACAUGCUGUAGGGAUGAAGAUUGCUUGGUUCUUGAGCAGCCAAACGGUGUGAUGGGAGAAUCCUCCGAGGUUUGUCCAAUCUGUCUCCAGUCAUUUCCAAUCGAUGUCCUCCCAUCCCAUGCAAGUGCUUGUGGUGACAGGUAAGAAGUUUAUGACUAAUGGAUUCAAGUUAAAAGAUUCUGAAUCUGAGGACCCAUGAC